rnacentral:rRNA from 1 species
UAGGGAAUCUUCGGCAAUGGACGGAAGUCUGACCGAGCAACGCCGCGUGAGUGAAGAAGGUUUUCGGAUCGUAAAGCUCUGUUGUAAGAGAAGAACGAGUGUGAGAGUGGAAAGUUCACACUGUGACGGUAUUUUACCAGAAAGGGACGGCUAAUUACGUGCCAGCAGCCGCGGUAAUACGUAGGUCCCGAGCGUUGUCCGGAUUUAUUGGGCGUAAAGCGAGCGCAGGCGGUUAGAUAAGUCUGAAGUUAAAGGCUGUGGCUUAACCAUAGUACGCAUCGGAAACUGUUUAACUUGAGUGCAAGAGGGGAGAGUGGAAUUCCAUGUGUAGCGGUGAAAUGCGUAGAUAUAUGGAGGAACACCGGUGGCGAAAGCGGCUCUCUGGCUUGUAACUGACGCUGAGGCUCGAAAGCGUGGGGAGCAAACAGGAUUAGAUACCCUGGUAGUCCACGCCGUAAACGAUGAGUGCUAAGUGUUGGGAGGUUUCCGCCUCUCAGUGCUGCAGCUAACGCAUUAAGCACUCCGCCUGGGGAGUACGACCGCAAGGUUG